GGGAAAUUGCAUUGUCGAUAUUUACAGAAAUGCAACCUGUAACCCUUAAAACCAAAUAUAUCACUUACUGUGAUAUUUUAAAAUAUAAGAACAUGUUUAAGCUUUUUCAGCAGUUCACAGGGUCAAUCCUUUUAAAAGCUUCAUAUCGUCGUAUGGUGUUUAGACAUAGGAAGAUGUGGUAUGAGUGCCAAUGAGACGACUCUCCAUCCGAGUUACAAUUUAUAAAAGUAAACCAUUAUAGGUCAAGGUACGGUCUUCAACACGGAGCUUUGGCUCACACCGAACAUCAAGCUAUUAAGGGCCCCUUAAAAUCACUAGUGUAAAACCAUUCAAGCUGGAAAACCACCGGUCUAUAUAAUCUAUAUAAAAAACGAGAAGCGAGAAACAUUAUGAACCACAUCAAGAAACGACAA
rnacentral:lncRNA from 1 species